AAUCUUGGGGCUUAACCCUGAGCGUGCUUUCGAUACGGGUUGACUUGAGGAAGGUAGGGGAGAAUGGAAUUCCUGGUGGAGCGGUGGAAUGCGCAGAUAUCAGGAGUAACACCAGUGGCGAAGGCGGUUCUCUGGGCCUUUCCUGACGCUGAGGAGCGAAAGCGUGGGGAGCGAACAGGCUUAGAUACCCUGGUAGUCCACGCUGUAAACGGUGGGUACUAGGUGUGGGGUCCAUUCCACGGGUUCCGUGCCGUAGCUAACGCUUUAAGUACCCCGCCUGGGGAGUACGGCCGCAAGGCUAAAACUCAAAGGAAUUGACGGGGCCCCGCACAAGCGGC
rnacentral:rRNA from 1 species